rnacentral:lncRNA from 1 species
GGCAACCCGUCGGAGCCGUGCCAGGAUGGCCAGCUUCCGCACCAUGGCUACCCGGAACACCUGGACGGGACAAAGGAGACACAAACCUUGGAGCUCUCACCCACCCGCUGCGCCAAAGCGGCUUCCCAGCUCCGGCUGACCCAUCUGAGCCACGAGGACUCUGUCUGCACUCUUCAUUUAAGGUCCAUUAUUUACUGAAACUUUUAAGAUAAUGCCACUUUUAAUCUACUUGCACCCACAGUCCCCUAGCAUUUAAAGAAUCCGAGGGGCACCGGGAGAUUGUGGUUCUUACGACGCUGCGCUUUC